rnacentral:miRNA from 14 species
UGAGCUGAGCUGAGCUGAGCUGAGCUGAGCUGAGCUGAGCUGAGCUGAGCAGAGCAGAGCUGAGCUGAGC